GAUGAACGCUGGCGGCGUGCCUAAUACAAGCAAGUCGAGCGAACGGACGAGAAGCUUGCUUUUCUGAUGUUAGCGGCGGACGGGUGAGUAACACGUGGAUAACCUACCUAUAAGACUGGGAUAACUUCGGGAAACCGGAGCUAAUACCGGAUAAUAUUUUGAACCGCAUGGUUCAAAAGUGAAAGACGGUCUUGCUGUCACUUAUAGAUGGAUCCGCGCUGCAUUAGCUAGUUGGUAAGGUAACGGCUUACCAAGGCAACGAUGCCUAGCCGACCUGAGAGGGUGAUCGGCCACACUGGAACUGAGACACGGUCCAGACUCCUACGGGAGGCAGCAGUAGGGAAUCUUCCGCAAUGGGCGGAAGCCUGACGGAGCAACGCCGCGUGAGUGAUGAAGGUCUUCGGAUCGUAAAACUCUGUUAUUAGUGAAGAACAUAUGUGUAAGUAACUGUGCACAGCUUGACGGUACCUAAUCAGAAAGCCACGGCUAACUACGUG
rnacentral:rRNA from 1 species